CCUGCCCCUUCAGAUUGCUGCUUAUUAGCCAUUUCCCAGUGCCAGUCCUUGUCCUUGGGUGGCUGCCAGGAGCAUGCCACUUGUCUGAAUUGCCCACUCAGUGGUUACUAUGGUUCAGUAGCUGUGGUAUGAGCACAACACGGUCAGGCCGUCAGCAUCACCUCCAGGAACGAGGACCGAGAAUGAAGAAUCUGCUGGGUGAGCAGCCUACUGCCCACAGGACGGAGCGGAGGAAGGUUAUAACUAACCCGCCACUGUCCUGAACGUCCUUGUCAGGAGCCCUGGAAUUUCAAUCAACUUGCCUCAAAGUCUUCCUUACCUGUGAAGGACCGUCCUUGCCUCCUUUGUGACAGCUGACUCUGGGCCUCCCACUCUCCUGCAGAUACUUCUUCUUUACCUGAUACCACCUCUGUGUGCAGUGAUCGCAUAAGUGGCUACAAGGCCUCCUGAGCCUCCGCUGUGGUGCAAUGAGACUCCUGCACAUCUUCCUUACCGCCCUCUUCACCAUCUGUCAGGCGCUGACAGACAGCAUGAGGGCACUCAGUUUUGAAAGACCCUGCUAUCUUCGGGGUGGAGUCUGCCUGAAGCAAGGGACACCAAACUGUGAGCCCUACCGAGGACCCUGCCGAGCAUUCACCAUUUGCUGCCGAAUAAAGAGGAGCUGAUGAAGGUGCCCAGGGGAGAAAGCUCAGCUCAGGGACCUGCCACAUGAAGGGACAGCAGUGGGAGAGGAACAAUUAUAAGAAUUAAAUUUAUAUUACACUUUAAAUUUUGCAAAGCAUUUUCAUGCACAUAACAUUGUCAUCCUUAGAACCACUCUGGUCUAUCAAACCCAUUCACAGAUGUAGAAACCAAAACUCAGCUAGAUUCAGCCACUCCACUCCCCCAAAAUGAUAGAGUCAUAAAAGAAAGAGCAUAAUCUAAGGCUUUGUUCUGUUCCAGAAUUCUCUGUCCAUAUGGGCAGGGAGUUAUGGUCUCUUUACAGUCUCAGGCAUCUGGACAGGAAGGAAUUCACUACAGUUGGUGAGGCACCAUGAAGACAGGGUGUGGUCCUGGGUCCUGCCACCAUUGUGGGUCAAGUGCAAGUGAGAAGGAGCUAUGGGGGCUGCACAGGGCUAAGAAGGGUGGUGUUGGGGACAUGCAGGAUAAAAGCACACAUGUCUGGAGAGUAUCCAGAAAGGAAUUUCAAUUGCAGGUCAGAAGGCUUAUAUAUGGGGCUGGAGUUCUGGUGACCACUGUGUGUCUUCCUCAUUCACUUUUCCUGUCCAGGCAUGUCACCCACUGUAGUCUCCUCAGUAAGUGGUCUCUCUACUAUGUCACUGUUCUGCCUUGGGCGGGGAGGAGCCAGCCUAGAGAUCAGCAUUGCUUUUUGUGAUUUACAAUGCAUGUCAGGGGAGGGGAGGCAGGUGGCAGAAAGUAGUCCAAGGUGCCCAGGAAGGUGGGAGACAAAGAGAAAAGGUAAGGUAUACUUACCUGCUUCCAAAACUUAUAAAGAAACCCAUGGCAGAGAACCGAGCUUGGCUGGCAUUGUCAUGAGGGACAAUGAGGGCCAACUGUGUGACUGGGUCCCUGUCACUGAGUAACUAAAGGAACAAUGGGCGUGCCUGUCUGGACACAGACACAAGUGUCCAUUUCUCCACCGUCCCUCAUCAGCACUGUCAUCUUCCAGAGUCCAGGUACAGGGAUCCUUGCAAGGUUUUGCCUCUUCCUUGUGUCUGUUCUGUGGGCCCGCAGGGGGCCCUGUGCUUUGGUGGCACAGUCUACCCCCACAUCAGGGGAACUUAGGAACUAAUGAGUAGUUUAAAUGUAAUUCAUGUUCUCAUUUGUAUUUCUUUGUCAUAAAGUAAAAACCUUCUUUGCUUUCUCAUAUAAUUCUCCCAGGGUUCACAGAUUCGCUGACACCUCUCUCUUCUAAAGUCUCUGGAAAACCCCAGCUCCAGCCCCAUUCCUCUAGGUCUUCCUCUUUCUCCCUUUUCUUUCUGAUCCAAACAUAGGAGCCUGGCUUGUGAUGAGCAGAGCAAACCUCAGAGGGGAGGCAAGGAAGGGAAGGAGGCUAGUGGUCAGGGGUGAAGACAGAGGAGAGGUGGGGACACCGAGCAUAAAUGUGGCUUGUGCUGUGGCCCCAGCUCUGAAGCUCUUUGUCACAGUGACUCAGUAGAGUGACAUGUCCCUCUGAUUUGACUGCCUGUGUUGCUUGACUCAGAAAAUUCACCA